rnacentral:rRNA from 1 species
UAAGCCCCAGUAAACGGCGGCCGUAACUAUAACGGUCCUAAGGUAGCGAAAUUCCUUGUCGGGUAAGUUCCGACCCGCACGAAAGGCGUAAUGAUUUGAGCGCUGUCUCGACAAUGCAUCCGGUGAAAUUGAAGUACCAGUGAAGAUGCUGGUUACCUGCGCCAGGACGGAAAGACCCCAUGGAGCUUUACUCCAGUUUGGUACUGGGAUUCGGUACUGCAUGUACAGGAUAGGUGGGAGACAAAGAAGUUAGGACGCCAGUCUUAACAGAGUCGCUGUUGGGAUACCACCCUUGCAGUAUUGGGUUUCUAACCAGCCGCUGUGAACCAGCGGUGGGACAAUGCCAGGCGGGGAGUUUGACUGGGGCGGUCGCCUCCGAAAGGGUAUCGGAGGCGCUCAAAGGUUCCCUCAGAAUGGUUGGAAACCAUUUGAAGAGUGCAAAGGCAGAAGGGAGCUUGACUGCGACACCGACGGGUGGAGCAGGUACGAAAGUAGGACUUAGUGAUCCGGUGGCAUAAAGUGGGAUUGCCAUCGCUCAACGGAUAAAAGCUACCCUGGGGAUAACAGGCUUAUCACUCCCAAGAGUUCACAUCGACGGAGUGGUUUGGCACCUCGAUGUCGGCUCAUCGCAUCCUGGGGCUGUAGUAGGUCCCAAGGGUUGGGCUGUUCGCCCAUUAAAGCGGUACGCGAGCUGGGUUCAGAACGUCGUGAGACAGUUCGGUCCCUAUCCGGCGCGGGCGUAGGAUAUCUGAGGGGAGCUGGCCUUAGUACGAGAGGACCGGGCUGGACGGACCACUGGUGCAUCAGCUGGAUACCAAAUCCAUAGCUGGGUAGCCAAGUCCGGAAGGGAUAAACGCUGAAGGCAUCUAAGCGUGAAGCCCCCCCCAAGAUGAGAUGUCCCUGUCUAUAAGACAGUAAGACCCCUGAAAGAGUAUCAGGUAGAUAGGGCAGAGGUGGAAGCACGGUAACGUGUGGAGCUGACUGUUACUAAUCGGUCGAGGGCUUGACCAA